rnacentral:rRNA from 1 species
UACGUAGGAUGCAAGCGUUGUCCGGAUUUAUUGGGCGUAAAGCGUUCGUAGGUGGCUUUUUAAGUCUUGUGUUAAAUAAUAGAGCUCAACUCUAUAACUGCAUAAGAAACUGGAAGGCUUGAGUUAGGUAGGGGUCAGAAGAAUUCCUGGUGUAGCGGUGAAAUGCGUAGAUAUCAGGAGGAAUACCGGUGGCGAAGGCGUCUGACUGGGCCUAUACUGACACUGAGGAACGAAAGCUAGGGGAGCGAAAGGG